rnacentral:snRNA from 1 species
GUGCUCACUUUGGCAGGCACAUAUACUAACAUGGGAAUAAUACAGAGAAGAUUAGCAACGCCGCUGGGCAA